UUAACCCACUGAGCCACCCAGGCGCCCCUUGACGAAGAAUUGUAACUUAUCCUUUUAACUUUGUGUGUUGGAUGGAGUGGGAGUGUUUGUAGCCUUUAACUAUAGGAUAUCCCUCCUCCUCGACCCUCCAAAAAACAAAUAAACAAACAAACCAACUGAGAAACAGUAACUUUAUUUUACAUAAUGCAGAAUAAAGAAGGCAGAAAUAAUUUUAAGAAUGAAAUUGUAGCUUCUAGAUUUGGUUUUGUGACUUUACACCCAUGAUAGUGGUCAAACUACAAUGUUUAUAGUUGAAUGUAUAUUCAGAGUGUAUUUAUCAUAUAUUUACUGUUUAAGGUUGAUUGUGUUUUACAAUGUAUAUCUGGUCUUGGCUCUUUGAAAAUAAAAUAUUUAAACCUUUAAUUGAAUGUUGAUAUAGCUUGAAUGUUAAGCCUAUAUUACAAUUACAUCCUACUGUAUAUUACUGGGAAUAUCUUUUUUAUUUAUAUAAUAAUAAGUUGAAAAGACUGUAUACAGUCUUUAAAAAUGUGGAUAAUAGGUAUUUCUAGAUCUUUAAUGUGAGCCUACUAAAAGCAAAAAAGCCUAACCCCUGUUCUGUAUAUGUUGAUUUAACCUCUGAACAAAAUGAGAUUCAGUGACCAUGAUGGUAGACUGUUGGAGUGAUUGUAUUCAGAUGAGGAAGUGCGGAGUCAGGCACUCCAAGACUUUGGCUAUUGCCCUGGAAACUGUUUGCAUCAAACUUGCUAGCAAUAACCUCCCACCCUAUUCUCUUCUCUUUUCCCCUCCCUUCCUCCCUUCCUUUCUUCCUCUCCUCCUCUUCCCACUAUCUUUUUGAUGAUGGCAGUACACGUUAAAUUUGUAUACUCAUCUGAACUCAUUCUUCUGUAAAUAAAGUCU